GAUAACUCGAGGCUGUGCGCACGGACGAGAUAGGGCUUGCAACAAAAACCGUAAAAUGAAACCGAUAACUGUAGAAAUAUAAUAUUUUAUUGACAAAUGGAAUGUUUUAUUCAGUUUAGAAUGUUAUUUAAAUAAAUAUUAUAUAAAAUAAACAUAAAUUUAUACAUCAAACAUUUGAUUUUGUUUUUUAAAGUUAAGAUUUGUUUGAAUACCCUUGCUUCCAUUGCCGUAAAAUAAACAAAUAACACUUAUACGUAGGUACGUAGAGAGUAUUAUAUUCCUUGUACUUAACAUUCCAGAGGCGCACUUUUUGUAUUUGUUUAUUCUCUUUUAAAAAUAAUUAAUAAAAUUAACGUAACUUUACCAACGUUUUAUAAGUUUGGAUGUAUCUAUCAAAUACGUCCACGCCGUCAUUUGACUGACAGUAUCCCGAUGACACUUAUCUCCUUCACAAUAGCAGCCUCAACUAGAAAGAGAGUAGUCUCACAAAGAUUUGUUGCCACUGAAGAGCACCGAGUAGAGACAGAACAAAUUUUGAUAGAGAAUCAGACAACACUAGUUCAUAUCUUAUAGCUAAUGAAUGAGAUAUGACUAAAUUAAAGUCAGCCAUUGUACGAUUUAAUUAAAAAAAAAUUUAAAAAAAUGUCAAAUAAUUUUUAUUCAAUUAAAUUUAAAAUAUUAUAAAUGGUAAUUCUUUAUGAUUCUACCAUCCAUUGUGAAGAAGGGGAGAAACCUCAAUUUUGGUUUUUAAAAUACUAAUAGAUUUUACAAUAAUACAUUUCUAAAAAUAUACACUGCCAAACAUAACAAGAGUUAUUGGAAUUAUUAGUUAAAUCAAGUUCAUUAUUGAAAAUAUAAGAUUAAAUUAUGUCAUUUAAUAGUCAUUAGUAAUUUUGAAAUAUAAGUUUCAUCUUAUAUAAUUUUCAAAUAAAAACACAAUUACAAUAAAAUUUUAUAAUUAUAAACUUGUUUCAAUUUCAAAUAAAUAAUUUUUAAUGAA